UUUUUAAAGUCUCAUGUGACUAACGUUGUUCGAGACCUGUACAAAAAGAUAUCAAGCUCUAUUUACUUGUUUACUAUCAACAGUCACAUAUUUUAUAAAGGUAAAGAGAAAUGUUGAUGGGAAGAUGGCGUAGUUGGCUAAUUUACUAUACUCGUUGGGAUUAAUGGUUAUUAAGGUUGCACUAUACAAGCCUUCGAUUUAUAAUUUCUUAUUAAUGAUUAUUAUAAUUUUGAAGGAAAAAUAUCUUCGGAUUUUGGCUCAUAAUUGAUCAGUUAUAAAAAUAGUCGGGACUGACAAGGCUCGAACCUGCAGUGAUCAGUUUCUGCUGCUGGAGCGUUCUCUAUGUUUAGUAACCUGGGUAAAGGCUGCCUUGCUUUCCGUUGUGGAAUCUUUAGAUGCUUUUUAUUCAACUUCGAGACACACAAUGAAGUAUAUCUCUUUAGAUUCUUUGAGCUGCGAUUGAUCUAAACGUUCCAAGUGCAUCCAACAUGAAAUGGAAGGUUGAAAAGUAUAAAAUAGAUAA
rnacentral:sRNA from 1 species